rnacentral:rRNA from 1 species
AUACGGAGGGGGCUAGCGUUGUUCGGAAUUACUGGGCGUAAAGCGCGCGUAGGCGGUUUGCCAAGUCAGGCGUGAAAGCCCCGGGCUCAACCCGGGAAUUGCGCUUGAUACUGGCAGGCUAGAGGCCGGGAGAGGGGAGUGGAAUUCCCAGUGUAGAGGUGAAAUUCGUAGAUAUUGGGAAGAACACCGGUGGCGAAGGCGGCUACCUGGACCGGUACUGACGCUGAGGUGCGAAAGCGUGGGGAGCAAACAGGAUUAGAAACCCGAGUAGUCC